rnacentral:piRNA from 1 species
UAUCUGUACCUAGAGUUUGAAUGUUUGC